AGGAGGGCCUGUGGAGACGCACAGGUGGUGGAGGCGUCCUCUUAGAUGAGAUGCAGCCCCAACUGAUGGUCUGACUACACCGUCACAAGAGACUUUGAACCGCAGUCACUUAGCUAAGAUACACCCAGAUUCCUGACCCACAGAAAAGAGAGUGAGAGCACAAGCAAGGGGAGCAGCAUGCUGAGGGAGAGGGAGAAGCAGACUCCCAAGAUCCUGGGAUCAUGACCUGAGCCAAAGACAGACAUUUAACCGACUGAGACACCCAGGAUCCCAUUUGGGAUACCAAUUUAUAUUUGAUUGUCAUGUCUCCUGAGGCUCCUCUUGGUGGUGACAGUGUCCUAGACUUUCCUUGAUUUUGAUGACCUGGACAGUUUUGAGGAGUACUGGCUAGCCUGGCAUGUUUUCAUGAUGAAGACAGACAGCAAAAGAGAGAACAGAAGUGUGUGAGAACUCUUGGAAUCCAUGUGCAGAACUUGCUCCUAAUCAAUCCCACCAUACUAUGUUGGCCAAAGCAAGUCACAAUGCAGCACAGAUACCAGGGGUGGCAAAAAGGCUCCUCCUAUUUAUUGGAAGAACUGCACUGUCACAUGCACAUAAGAGUGUGGACACAUGAGAAGGUUGUGGAGCCCAAGAAUGAGGUCAUUUGAGAAGACAGUAAGACUGAAAGAGAGAAAUUGAGGUCUGAUUAUAUGAAGCAUGAAGCCUGACCAAUCCCUGGGACUUUUCAGGAUAUGUGAGCUAAUAAAUUAAUAAUUCAUUUUUUUGU